rnacentral:rRNA from 1 species
UUGCCUACGGGAGGCUGCAGCUAAGAAUAUUCCGCAAUGGACGAAAGUCUGACGGAGCGACGCCGCGUGGAUGAAGAAGGCCGAAAGGUUGUAAAGUUCUUUUGUUGGGGAAGAAUAACCAUGGGAGGGAAUGCCCGUGGGAUGACAUGAACCGACGAAUAAGCCCCGGCUAACUACGUGCCAGCAGCCGCGGUAACACGUAGGGGGCGAGCGUUGUUCGGAAUUACUGGGCGUAAAGGGCAUGUAGGCGGUCUUGUAAGCUUGGCGUGAAAGACCACGGCUCAACCGUGGGAUUGCGUUGAGAACUGCGAGGCUUGAGUGACGGAGAGGGAGCUAGAAUUCCUGGUGUAGGGGUGGAAUCUGUAGAGAUCAGGAAGAAUACCAAUGGCGAAGGCAAGCUCCUGGCCGAUGACUGACGCUGAGGUGCGAAAGUGUGGGGAUCAAACAGGAUUAGAUACCCCGGUAGUCCCA